GACUCAGUGGUCUAAUGGUAAAGCGUUUGCCGUGAAACCAGAGGGUCCUAGAUUCGAUCCCCAAUGGGGUCG
rnacentral:tRNA from 1 species